CUGUUUAGAUUUACUGCUAUGCUUGAUGAUGUUUUAUCUGUCGGACAGACGUCUUCACAUUUGACUUUAAAAUACUUUGGUAUACAGAGGAGUUCAUGAUUUUGUUUGUUUGUUUGUUUGUUUGUUUUUCAUCUGUCCUGUCCAGCAGUUGUAGGAGCAAAAUCAUGGUCUCAAUGCUUUGGUGUGCCAGACAUAUUUGCUUUGCCUAGAGGAGCACUGUAAACUCUCUGUUGGCUGUUUUAUAUUUGUAUUUUAUUUUAUUAUUCAAACUAUUAUCUGUGUGGAUGUGGUGAAGGCCAGAUUGGCGAAAGAUAGGAGAAGAAAGCAAGGAGUUGACUCAAUGAGUCAGAUUUAUCAAGUAGCAUUGGUGCCCAGGUCCUGUGGCUGCAGAACAAGCCCCACAUAUCAUCCUGCAACCAUUAACAGCUGCUAUGAGGUGUUUGUGCUCAUAUGCUGCCUGUCGUCUGUCCAAAAGACAUUGUUCCUGAAGUCUUGUGAUUUGUUCAGAUGCAACUUUGCAAACCUAAGAUGCGACUUUGGGAUGAAUUUGUCAAGACAUUUAUUCUUGUGAAGAUGGAGGUAAAAUUCCACUUUUAUAGUUCUUUCCAGCCCUGCGACAGACUGGUGACCUGUCCAGGGUGUACCCCGCCUCUCACCCUAUGACAGCUGGGAUAGGCUCCAGCACCCCCCGCGACCCUGAACAGAAUGAGCGGAAGCAAAUGGAUGGAUGGAUGGAUGGAUGGUUCUUUCCAUGAUUUCUACACUACAACAACAAUGUGAUAAACCAGGAAGAGGUCUGCUUCACACAGAGAUAAGCUGUGGAAAAAUAAACUUGACCCCUGCAUCCUGGCGAGAUGUGACCUCUGCACCUCAGCAACCCCUAAAAACACACACACACUCACCAAUACAUAAACACCAGCUUUCCUUUCACCCCCCUUCAAUGGCUGCUUCAUUUUAGCCUCGACGUUCUCUCUUCUCUGUCAGCGAUCUCUGCCACCGUAAUAUUCCUCUCUCUAAAUUACUAGUGAUUUUUUUAAACUGAUCUCUCAAAGGGAAUAGAAAAGCAGGAGUCAUAAUUUCCUAAGCCACUUAAUUCCAGGCAUGCCCCCGUUUGAGCCUUAAGACACUUUAUAUUAUAAGGCAAAGAUGCUACAAUAAUACAGAGAAAUCAGAAAACCCCUUAUGAGCAAGCACUUGGUGACAGUGGGAAGGAAAAACUCUUUUUUUUUACAGGAAGAACCAGGAAGGGACAGCCGUCCUCUGUGAUCAGAUGGGGGUGAAGGGACAGCAACAGCACAGGUGUGGGAAUGUUGAAAACUGCAUUUUAAUCCCUGUGUUUUGUACAGAGUGGGUGUACAGUGAGGAAACACCUGAAGAACAAGAUGAGCAUGAGACUGAGAAGCAGUGCUUCUUAAUCUGAGGGAUGCUGAUAAAACCCAAUUUAGGAAGAUGGCAAAAAAAGGAGUUCAGAAAGGAGAAGGAGGACUGCAGCAACAACACAUGGUCCCAAUUUCACAGUUGUGGAUGGAGGAGUGCCGGCGGAUGCGGGGGCAGGAACAAGGCUUGCAAUCUGGAGACAUUAAAAGCUCAGUAAUAGUCACAUUCACUUCCACAACCAGGAAACUACUGCUCUGCUCCUACUAUGCACGCAUGUGUCUGUGUAAAAAUAAUCUUCUGCCUUUGUGAGGACCAAUUAAAGCUUUCAGGCUUGCAACGAAGUGCAUUUGACUGGUGGUCACGUCAAGGGUUAGAAUUGGGAGUAGGUUUGUUUCGGGGUCAGGGGUUUAGCUGGUAUUGUUAAGUUUAGAGUGUGUAUGUGUUUUCUCUCAUACACUCAAUCUCCUUCAGUAUCUACACACACAGGCUG